AUGAAUGCGCCUCCUAGGAAGUCUUCAUCUUUGUCCCAAAGCUGUCUAUUAAAAAGACAGGCAUGUAGCCCACAGGCAGGAAGAGAAAGUCCAUCCCCACCGAGCAAGGAAGUAAAAGGCAGUGACCCAAUGUGGAGUAAGAACCUAGAAAGCCACCUGUAUCACUCACACCUACUACCGCUCGCGAGUCUAGGAAAGACGCCUCUACUUUAUUUUUCCUUCCUACCACAGUGAGUUGAAAGGUAAUGACGGCUCCACCUGCUGAACGCUCGGAUGCUGAGGAGAAGCCGUAACCGUGGAUGUGGGCGCCUCUCCCGCUAUCACAACCAUGUCUAAGUAGGGUUGCACUUUCACAGCUUUCAGAGGAGGUUAGAACUCAGCUGCGGUUGGGGCUGAAUCCCUAUGCCUGACCGAGUGCCUACGGCGCUCAGACAUAAAAGCAGACCCAUGAUUUGCGCAGCGCUUGGAACUGAAAAGGCUGGGCUCCAGGACAUACAGACUUGGUCCCCAGGCCUGAGGUGCCUGGUGGGAGACUGGGCACGUGGUGUCAUGGAUACUUGAGAGGAAGCCCCACGAGAUCCUGGUCAACUGCAGCCGUCCAGCGUAGGGACGUGGGUAUAUCAACCGGAUGCAGCCACGUGCGGAUUCUGGAUGAAGGUCAGUGGGGCCUGUUACUGGGCGUUGCUAACAGGUGCCAGGCGAUGUGAAGGCUGCCUGCCCAAAGAUCGCAGACAGCCCUGCCGUCUCCCCAUACCAUGUGUCAGGACAUCUAGUUCAAGGCCUGGGGGCCCCGUGGGUGCCCUGGGACCUCCCUCCGCCUUGAUUCCUCACUUGCACGCAGGAGUGGCCAUACUCACCACCCAGGCAUGACGUCAAGACUCAGCUGAGAUAGGGCGUGACGUCGGAAUCACAGAGAACAGAAACACAGCACGUCCUUAAUAGGUACUAAAAUUCUUCCCAUUUUUCAAAUUGCUUUGAAAAAACAAACUGCUUUGCUAUCCAGAGAGGACGGCCAGAAAAACAGCAUAAUUCCUGCUCUGCUCUUUGAGCGUUUACUCACACGUGUGUUUAUUUUUUCCCAUAAUAAUGCACAGGAAAUACACUACAUCUUCCAAGUGCUGGCCGAUUCUGUUUAUGUUUGUUUGCACACUGAGUCCCUGAUGGACAGAGGUCGUCGGGAGGCCUCCGUGCUCCGGGGCCCAGUGAACGCUGGGUUACCGGGACAGCCCUUUCC
ensembl:lncRNA